rnacentral:rRNA from 1 species
AGUGAACGCUGGCGGUAGGCCUAACACAUGCAAGUCGAACGGCAGCACAGUAAGAGCUUGCUCUUACGGGUGGCGAGUGGCGGACGGGUGAGGAAUACAUCGGAAUCUACUUUUUCGUGGGGGAUAACGUAGGGAAACUUCCGCUAAUACCGCAUACGACCUACGGGUUAAAGCAGGGGAUCUUCGGACCUUGCCCGAUUGAAUGAGCCGAUGUCGGAUUAGCUAGUUGGCGGGGUAAAGGCCCACCAAGGCGACGAUCCGUAGCUGGUCUGAGAGGAUGAUCAGCCACACUGGAACUGAGACACGGUCCAGACUCCUACGGGAGGCAGCAGUGGGGAAUAUUGGACAAUGGGCGAAAGCCUGAUCCAGCCAUACCGCGUGGGUGAAGAAGGCCUUCGGGUUGUAAAGCCCUUUUGUUGGGAAAGAAAAGCAGCAGGUUAAUACCCCGCUGUUCUGACGGUACCCAAAGAAUAAGCACCGGCUAACUUCGUG